rnacentral:rRNA from 1 species
AUACGGAGGAUGCAAGCGUUAUCCGGAUUUAUUGGGUUUAAAGGGUGCGUAGGCGGUUUGCUAAGCGGGAGGUGAAAUGCCGGCGCUCAACGUCGGAAGUGCCUCCCGAACUGGUGGACUUGAAUGACUCUGCCGUGGGAGGAAUGUGUAGUGUAGCGGUGAAAUGCUUAGAGAUUACACAGAACACCGAUUGCGAAGGCAUCUCACGAAGGGUUGAUUGACGCUGAGGCACGAAAGCGUGGGGAUCAAACAGGAUCAGAUACCCUGGUAGUCCACGCAGUAAACGAUGAUGGCUAACCGCUGGGCUUAUCAGUUCAGUGGCCAAGCGAAAGCGAUAAGCCAUCCACCUGGGGAGUACGACCGCAAGGUUGAAACUCAAAUGAAUUGACGGG